UUCUGGUUGAUCCUGCCGGACCUGGCUGCUAUCGGAUUGGUACUAAGCCAUGCGAGUCAGUGUAGCAAUACACUGCAGACGGCUCAGUAACACGUGGUCAAGCUAACCUAUGGACGUGGAUAACCUCGGGAAACUGAGAAUAAACCGCGAUAGAUCAUGGUGCCUGGAAUGGCCCAUGGUCGAAAUAGUUUACUGCCGUAGGAUGCGACUGCGGCCUAUCAGUUUGUUGGUGAGGUAAUGGCCCACCAAGGCGAUUACAGGUACGGGCUCUGAGAGGAGAAGCCCGGAGAUGGGUACUGAGACACGGACCCAGGCCCUAUGGGGCGCAGCAGGCGAGAAACCUUAGCAAUGUGCGAAAGCACGACUGGGUCAGUCCGAGUGAUUCCUGAUAAAGGAGUCUUUUGCCUGUCCUAAAAGCACAGGUGAAUAAGGGGUGGGCAAGUCUGGUGUCAGCCGGCGCGGUAAUACCAGCACCUCGAGUGGUCAGGACGUUUAUUGGGCCUAAAGCAUCCGUAGCCGGCUUUGCAAGUCUUCGGUUAAAUCCACCUGCUCAACAGAUGGGCCGCUGGAGAUACUACAGAGCUAGGGAGUGGGAGAGGCAGACGGUAUUCAGUGGGUAGGGGUAAAAUCCUCUGAUCCAUUGAGGACCACCAGUGGCGAAGGCGGUCUGCCAGAACACGUUCGACGGUGAGGGAUGAAAGCUGGGGGAGCAAACCGGAUUAGAUACCCGGGUAGUCCCAGCUGUAAACGAUGCAAACUCGGUGAUGCAUUGGCUUAUGGCCAAUGCAGUGCCGCAGGGAAGCCGUUAAGUUUGCCGCCUGGGAAGUACGGACGCAAGUCUGAAACUUAAAGGAAUUGGCGGGGGAGCACCACAAGGGGUGAAGCCUGCGGUUCAAUUGGAGUCAACGCCGGG
rnacentral:rRNA from 1 species